rnacentral:rRNA from 1 species
AACGAACGCUGGCGGCAUGCCUAACACAUGCAAGUCGAACGACACCUUCGGGUCUAGUGGCUCACGGGUGCGUAACGCGUGGGACCCUGCCCUUAGGUUCGGAAUAACUCCCCGAAAGGGGUGCUAAUACCGGAUAAUGUCUUCGGACCAAAGAUUUAUCGCCUUUGGAUGGGCCCGCGUUGGAUUAGCUAGUGGGUAGGGUAAAAGCCUACCAAGGCGACGAUCCAUAGCUGGUCUGAGAGGAUGAGCAGCCACACUGGGACUGAGACACGGCCCAGACUCCUACGGGAGGGAGCAGUGGGGAAUAUUGGAAAAUGGGCGAAAGGCUGAUCCAGCAAGGGCGCGUGAGUGAUGAAGGCCUUAGGGUUGUAAAGCUGUUUUACCCGGGAUGAUAAUGACAGUACCGGGAGAAUAAGCACCGGCUAACUCCGUG